GUCCCUGCAGCGCAAUCCGCAGCUCGUUGGACUUUUAACCCAAAGGUCGUGGGAUCAAACCCCACUUGGGAUG